UACGUAGGGUGCAAGCGUUGUCCGGAAUUAUUGGGCGUAAAGAGCUCGUAGGCGGUUUGUCGCGUCUGCUGUGAAAACUCAGGGCUUAACUCUGAGCUUGCAGUGGGUACGGGCAGACUUGAGUGCGGUAGGGGAGACUGGAAUUCCUGGUGUAGCGGUGAAAUGCGCAGAUAUCAGGAGGAACACCGGUGGCGAAGGCGGGUCUCUGGGCCGAUACUGACGCUGAGUGCGCGAAAGCCAGGGGAGCAAACAGG
rnacentral:rRNA from 1 species